rnacentral:lncRNA from 1 species
GUAGGAUCGUCAUAUUAUUUCAAUUCAUGUGACACCAAUUUAAUUAAUUGUUGACAUUAAUGAAUGUUACUUUUGGGAAUAACUUAACAUCCAUAUAAAAUAACUAUUUCUAACCAGCGCACCACUAUGUUGUCUUUGGUGUGGCUUUUACCUAACAAAAAUUUUAAUUUAUACAUUUGGUCACUCAAGUGUUCAGAUAAUUAUACCAAUUGGCCGAGUCUACCUAAUCACGGGAUGUUCAGCAACCUAAGAAAUCCAUAUUGUAUGUGGGUCAAAUUUGAAUAUCUAAUUUUGCAUCAUUGCAGAUAACAUUAUCAAACUUAAAACUAAUCAAACAAGGCAUAUAUUAAAUAUGACAAAAUAUAUGUUGUCACACACACACACACACACACAGAAUACUCGUUGUACUUAGCGUAUAUUGUUGAAUUAACAGGUUUCAAUUUAUUUUGCAGCAUACCAAACUUGGUACGGAAAUUUAUAUAUCUAGUCAUUUUCACAAAAUCAUUAUCAAAAUUAAAUAUAUUACAAAUAUUAUUUAUCAUACUAGCCACUUAUACCUAUUUUGAACUAGAUUACCCUUUAAAAGAACUUGAUUUGUUGUGGACGAUGGCCGGUUGCAGUCAAUGGAAGCCAUCGCUCCUGUUGAUUGCGAGCGACGACAGUCAUUGCUUGUGUUGGUUCGUUUUCCAUCACCUAUGUUGGUUGCGACUGGCUGCCGACGAUGGUGGCAUUCCCCAUGUUGGUUGCAGGUAGAGCUACCCCCCGUGUUGAUUUCAUGUUGGUUGCUUUAAAGGUCAAUUAGUCCAAAAUAGAGAUAUAUAACUAAUAUGGUAAGAAAUUUUGUAAUAUGGAUAGUUUUGAUAAUAACUUUAUGAAAAUAACUAGAUAUGUAAGGGUGUGUUUGGUAACGUUUUUUGGAUGAGUGUUUUUUGUUUUUCAAAAAUGAAAACUACAAAACAUGUUUGGUUAAACCAUUUUGUAAUAAAUAGUAAAAAAAAAUAGAGAACAAAAUAUUUUUGUUCCUCAAGUUUUGUAAAGAAAACUCAAGAACGUCAAAUUGACGUUCCUGAGCUCGCUGGAGAACAAAAUAAAAGAGGGGAGAU